GACGAACGCUGGCGGCGUGCCUAAUACAUGCAAGUAGAACGCUGAAGGAGGAGCUUGCUCUUCUGGAUGAGUUGCGAACGGGUGAGUAACGCGUAGGUAACCUGCCUGGUAGCGGGGGAUAACUAUUGGAAACGAUAGCUAAUACCGCAUAAGAGUAGAUGUUGCAUGACAUUUGCUUAAAAGGUGCAAUUGCAUCACUACCAGAUGGACCUGCGUUGUAUUAGCUAGUUGGUGGGGUAACGGCUCACCAAGGCGACGAUACAUAGCCGACCUGAGAGGGGGAUCGGCCACACUGGGACUGAGACACGGCCCAAACUCCUACGGGAGGCAGCAGUAGGGAAUCUUCGGCAAUGGACGGAAGUCUGACCGAGCAACGCCGCGUGAGUGAAGAAGGUUUUCGGAUCGUAAAGCUCUGUUGUAAGAGAAGAACGAGUGUGAGAGUGGAAAGUUCACACUGUGACGGUAUCUUACCAGAAAGGGACGGCUAACUACGUG
rnacentral:rRNA from 1 species